rnacentral:lncRNA from 1 species
GGCAGGUCAGGCACACCAGGGCUGUUCUCAGGGUGACCUGUCAGCAGCGGGACCAGGACUGAGGACUUAGAAACCCCUCCUCUCAUUUCAUUCUCAGACAAGGGAAGACUUACCUAGUGCUUCUCAUUCUGAACUUUCCCAGUUCUCUGACAAUGCGAGUCCAUGGUGUGGAGACAGCUCUUCUCCUGGCCCUUUCAGAUGGGUUGGAAGUUCCCCCAUUCAAAAAAGAAGCAAACUUGGCGGAAAUAGGAUUUUAUUUUUACUGUAGUGAACACCAACAAUCCCUACUCUGUUCUCAGCAGCAGCAGAAUAUGGGAGAGUGUGAGCUUCUCCCACCCACUCUCCCAACAGCCUUGAACUCUACAAAGAUGGAAAACUCAGUUCUUUGGAAGAAAUCUUCAGCCAGGGAAAAAGUUCUGUCGACAAAUACUAUUGUUCUGCCAAGGGAACAUAGCAAUAAUAUCGAAUCAAAACUCGUAUUGAUAUUCUGUGAUACCCAUAGAUCAGUGUCUUAUUCAACUACUAUCAGAGAACCUUCAACUUACAGAAGAUGAGAACUAAUACAGAGACCUGUAACUGGACAAUGUGCUGAGAAUGAGAGACCUUGGAAUACUCAGUCCUAAACAAAAUGUCUUCAUCAAACCUCUCCUCUCAGGGCUCAUGGAGCUUCAAGGAAGAGGAGGCAGAAAGAUUGUAAGAGGCAGUGUGGGAUGGAAGACACCAAAGAAACAGUGUCUUCUAGACACAACAGGACUGAUGCAUAUAUGAACUCAUAGACUGGGACAGCAUGCACAGGGUCUGCACAGGCCCAAGCCAAACGGAGUUUCCAUGUUGAAAGAGGAAGUGGAUAUGAGCCUCUACCCAGCAGUUAUCUUCAUAUGUCAACCACCCAUAAAGGAAAGAUUAGUUUUCUCUAAUGGAGUCUCACUGAGUAUAUAAACCACACUUAAUGGAUGCCCUAUGCCCAACAGUAGAUGACCAAUGAAAAUAAACUCAAUGGUAUUUUUGGAGAUGUUUUGUCUUACAGUGCUUUGAGUAUUUUUAUUAUCUUACUAUUCUUAUGCAAAUACAUAAAUAUGUACAUACAUACAUACAUAUACACACACAGGCACACAUAUGUUCAACAGAACUUUUAUAUACAAGUUAAACAUCAAUGAACUCAGAAAGGAGUUGCUUUACCUGAUAGUGAUUGACUGACCUGAAAUUCAUGAGAAUUUCUGUGCCAUGGGGCAAGAAAGGUUAUGUUUUGAAUCCAGAAAAUAUGCUGGAGCAUCUCUUGGCCAAUUCAUGACCAGGAGCAAAGAUAAACGACCAAUUCAACUAUGAAAGGCCAAUAAAAACAAGGCAGCCUCAGAGUCAGAUACCUGGAGGAUCAAAGUCAAGAGUCAACUGUGAGGCAAACCAUCAAGGCAACUUGGCUGCGAUGAAAUAAAAGGCAAUCUAGAGAUGACAGUAAAGCCGGAAGAGGGUGAGGAUCAACUGUGGCCUCAGAACUCGUGCCACCUUCAGAAGCUGUGAUCUGUCUUCCUCAUCCUCUCCCCAUGGAACUUUUCUGGGAUUGCUUCAUCUUGUAGUGAGCCCAGAGAGAGCUAAUGCCUCCUCUUUCAAGGAGCAAAAGUCUCUCCUUACAAAACUGGGAACUUCCUGCUGUGGCUGCAGGUGCUGAGUUCAAGGGAAGCAAAGGGCAGAGUGUACAGGGCACUUGCUAGCUUCAGAUCCUUUGUGGCCAUGCUUCCCCACAUCUCCAUAUUUGCUUUGAACAACUUCAUGCCGUAACAGCCAUCUCAAGCUAGUGCCACAUGCCCUUCCUUUCUACCCUGGCUUUCCUGUUAACUCUUAGGCGUAAAGAACCAAGAGACAUUAUCAGGAGCCUCAUGCAAUCACCACCAGGAGACCAACACGUCCCAGAGGGAAAGGGGAGAUAAAUGCACAGACUCCUCUCUGCGUGCCUCCUGUUCUCAGCCCUGAAGACAACCAUCAUGGAUGCCCUUCCCUUGACAGCAAUCCUACAUUGCCCUUGCCGCUCCUCCUCCUGGCUUCAGUGGUUUGUUCCUGUCUGUAGCUUAAACAAUUGUAGUAAUUAGAUGAGAACACAGUGAUGUUUUACAGUUUCCCACAUUCUGUUCCCAUAAGCCCAAGCCCUCCAGGCAAGGUAGGGUGAAGCAAAGAAAAUUCAUUAUAAGAAUCCUGUCCAUUCUCAGAGUCUAAGGAUUCUUUCUCACUAAAGCAACUGACUCUUCUCUGAGUCUCCUUCCCUGUGUCCAGUAGUACAGUGUUCUGUUCUCCCUGCUGGAUCUGCUGGACUCCAUUGCAGACUUUCUCACGGUAUGCUUGGUGCUGAUGGUUACGCCUGGGUUCUCGGUUGUUGCCCAAGGUUCCCUGAAUGGUCUGACAGGUAAAGCCUGUAAUGUGUAGUGUGUUCUUCCCAGCACUGUGGUGCGUGAGCCAAUCCUAUUCAUCAGGCCACACCUGAAGCUUGACACCUCAGGUCCCACUCCUAAGAGGCCACUCCUUGUUUCAUCUGAAACGAGCGACAGACACUUCUGCUCUUUGUAGUUUAUUUCUCAUGGACCACAUGGUCUCAACUGCUACUUGAUCUCCACACUGCUCCUGUGACCAUAGUUUUGUUAUCAUCAUAGUUGUCACUGUCAAUACUGUUUUAUUUCUCUCUUUCUUAACAAAUCACUAAUGGGUUCUGAAGAUUUGGCAAAGGAGGAGGCCCGUUUGCUUUGCAAAGGCUGCUUGGCCGUUGCCUUGGCAUCAUUGGUUUUCAAACAGAUGAGAUUUUCAAAACAGACCAAAGGAUCCGGGGAAAGUCUCAGUCAGUUAAGGUACUGCCACACAGACAUGAGGACCCGGUGUCAGAUUCCAAGCACCUAUGUAAAAUGCUAGGCAUGAUGGCAGCUGUCCAUAAACCUGGCUCUAGGGAAGGCAGACAGGUAGCUCUCUCCCUGUAUCUCACUGGCCAGCCAGUCUAGGCAAAUCAAUGAGCGCCUGGUACAGGGACAAAACCUGUUUCAAAAAAAAAUAAGGUGGAGAGUGAGUGAGUUCAUCACUCUGUGCCACUUGGUCAGCCAGACACAAAGGUGCUCGAUCCUGGUUCUUGAAAUGUUCUUAGAUGUUUUCCAUUGCUCUUUGCUAAACUCUUUAAUCUCAAAAAGAAAUAAUUGUACCCCCUUUUUCUUUCAACUUAAAGCCCACUCUGAUCGAAGCCUGUCACACUCCUUCUUGAGUUUCAGGAUGGAGUCUUAAUGCAUAUCAGGCUGAAAGAAGAAAUAGAAGUGUAGAAAGUGUGUGUGUGUGGUACAUGCAUGUGUAUGUGGGCAUGUGUAAGUGAAUGUAUGUGUGCAUGUGUGUGCUAACAUGAGUGAUUUUGUGUGUGGAGGCCAGAGAUUGGUGUCAGUCAUUAAUUUUUAGACAAAUGUUCUCACUGAAUAGUUCACUCACUCAAAUUAUAUGUCACAUGUCAGAUUCUACAUAUUACUUUUCUUUUAUAUAAAAGUUACGUGUGUGUGUGUGUGUGUGUGUGUGUGUGUGUGUGUGUGUAAGUACAGGUACCUGAAGCUUCAGAUCCCAUGGGAGCUGAAGUUAGGCAGUCAUAAGCUGCCCAGUAUAAGUAUUGGGAGUUGAACUCAGGUCUUCUGUAAGAACAGUGUAUGCUUUUAAUUACUAAGCCAACUCUUCAUUGCCCACAUAUUACCUUUAAAUGAAGGCUCUCUCUGUAGGAAACUAAUUCAGAAAUAAAAACACAAGAGAAAAAAAAAAAACAGUAAAGUGCAAAAUGAGAAGUUUGACUAACAAGGCUCAGGCCAGGUGGGGUAAUUAGGUAAUGAGGCUUGCGGAGGAAAUCUGGGGGGGGGGGGGGGGGGGAGGGGUGGAGCGGAGCGGGGGCAGCGGAGGCAGCGGAGCUAAGCUGCAAAAAGGUAUAGGCAAUGACCAUGUGCCAUUUGCCAGCUGAGCACAGCUGAUCUGGCUUCAGGGAGAAGGUCCCCAGAAGCAUUGCUGCUGUGAUCUCUUUGUCAUACUUAGGCAGUAGCUCUGUCUUCUAAGGCCUCCUCCCCCUCCCACCACACAGCACAGGAGCACUUUCUUAGCUCCACAGCUCACUCCACUCUGAAGUUAGUGGCUCCCUUUUCUUUGUCUGAUACCAUUGGAAGCUCCAGUACUUUUGUGUUCUUUCUCUCAUUUGUGUGGAGACAGUGUGUCACUCUAUAUAGCUCAAGAUGGCCUGGAAUUCAUGGCACUCAGCCUCCUGAGUAAACACUGACUAAUAGGUGGGAGCCACCAUGUGAGGCUUUCGAAUGUUAGUCUUGCUUAGGGAACACUAGGUUUACACUCCAGACUGAGGCAAACAGAUACUGUGAAACAAGAUUAGGCAGGUUCACACAGGAACACUGCUGUUCUCUGUGAGAACAGUAAGUUCCCAGGAGAAGGAAUACUCUCUUGAGAAAGCAAAGCCAAGAGAAACAGAGCAAAAGGGAAAUAUCCAAACAACUGCACCCAACCCCAGUCCUGAGCCUUCUGGGCUGGAGAACCAGAGAACACAGAUUUGAGAAGAAAUAGAGGGUAAGAGAGUUCUCUUGAUUCUCUGUGCAGUUUAUCAAAGUUUGUGAAUACAAAGUAGAAGCUGAACAAUUUGCAGAGAACAGUUAUAAGCAGAACUUGGUAAACAAAGGAAUCACGGGACUUCCCGUCAUACCCAGCUAAGUGAAGAACAGCAGCCAUUCACAGUAUAGAGAUCUUUCCAUUUACUCUAGACUGGGCCGAGAGAUCUUCAGCAAACCAUAGCAGUAGGGUGGCUCCUAUUCCAUCUGUGUGUUUUCAGAGGCAGCUCAGAGCAAUGUGCAAGAGAAAACAUGUUUCACACGAAACUGCCCUUCCAGGGCAUAGACAAGUACAGCCACAUCACGCGAUCUGUAUGAGCUGUGCACUAGGCUGCCUUUUUUUGAAAGCAUUGGCGCACACACAUACACACACACACACACACACACACACAGAGAGAGAGAGAGAGAGAGAGAGAGAGAGAGAGAGAGAGAGAGAGAGAGAGUUAAACUCUCUUGUCUUGUCUCCUUGUCUUUUCAUUCUUGUCUUUUCUGGGUAACUUACUAAUUUUAUUUAUUUAUUUAUUUAUUUAUUUAUUUUGCCCGUGAAGUUGAAGCUAUGGUGUUUUUAAAUAAAUGGACUGUGACU